UCCAGACUCCUACGGGAGGCAGCAGUGGGGGAUAUUGCACAAUGGGGGGAACCCUGAUGCAGCGACGCCGCGUGGGUGAAGGAGCGUUUCGGCGCGUAAAGCCCUAUCGGCAGGGAAGAAGAAAUGACGGUACCUGAGUAAGAAGCACCGGCUAAAUACGUGCCAGCAGCCGCGGGAAUACGUAUGGUGCAAGCGUUAUCCGGAUUUACUGGGUGUAAAGGGAGCGCAGGCGGCACGGCAAGCCUGAUGUGAAAGCCCGCGGCCCAACCGCGGGACUGCAUUGGGAACUACCGGGCUGGAGUGCCGGAGAGGUAGGCGGAAUUCCUAGUGUAGCGGUGAAAUGCGUAGAUAUCAGGAGGAACACCGGCGGCGAAGGCGGCCUGCUGGACCGCGACUGACGUUGAGGCUCGAAAGCGUGGGGAGCGAACAGGAUUAGAUACCCCUGUA
rnacentral:rRNA from 1 species